rnacentral:lncRNA from 1 species
UUCGUGUCGUUGUGUUGUGGUGUUCAUGCCUUUCCUCAUAGCAUUAAUAAUGAAUAUAUAUAAGAACUUGUAACUUCUCUGUACUCGGCUGACUUUUGAAAAAGAUCAAUUAUUGAUAGAUUCGGAAAUGUAAUCCUGCAUUUUGCUGCUAUUUUCAGCAAAUCGACGACUUUGUGUAAUGAAUAAACUGACGCCUGGCAAGAGAUGAAGGAAGCUGUUGAAAAGGUUGUUAGGAUGGGAAAACCACAAAGGUCUCAGCCGCAAGGAAACCUUUAGUUAUAGGUUCUGGAAGUCAUUGACAAAAUGAAAAAGUUUAACGUAGAAAAAGUUUUCUUAACUUUUCUCUUGUGAUGAAUAAUAAUGUAGAAGCAAUCCUGAAGUUGAACGUCGUGAAAUAGCAUAGGAACUGAAUGGCUGUUGAAACGAAAGCUGUAGAUCUUUUAGCUCGGGGUACCAAGUUGUAAAGGAUAACUGGUGCUAAGAGACACCCGAAGCAGCCACAAUGAAAGAAGGACUCACAACAGGAACAGAGGAAUCCUUUCUAUAGACGGCCAGUGAGGUAGUAUCAUCAAUAUACGAAUAAGUUCAACACGUGGGAUCUCGUAAAUUGAUCUUUUUGAACAGUUACCUUCAUGUUUUUCAAAAGUAAGCCUGCGAGUUUUCCAUUUUGCUCCUUACUCACUUCACUCUCUCCCUCUCUGCUUGUCGAACAACUUAAUCUUUUUGUUGUUGCUUCUCUCUCUCUCUCUCUCUCUCUCUCUCUCCCACACACACUUCUGACAAUUGGAAUGGGUAUUCUUGUAGGUUAAUUCGGAUCUUUUCGGUUUGAACGGCAGUUUUUAACAUAAUUUCUAGGUAACUAAAAAGUUUUAAACUUCGUAUACUGGUAGAAUGUGUUUAUAAAAUAUCUUUUUCUCUUGGCUUUAUUGAGAAAAUUCUAUAGUUUGGAAGAUAUUUGUUGUUUUUUUUCUUCAAUUUCUGCAAUUUUUCUGUAUUUUUUUAAAACUCUGUAUAUGGUGUAUAUAUUGCAUUUUAAACUCUGCGUAUGUGUGUAUAAAAUGUAUAUAUUGUAUUAUCACUGUCCCUUGUCUCCCCCGAGGCAUUGUCUCCCAGAAGAAGCGGAGGAACCAUUUGGUCAACAGCUCAAAUGGAAUUUCGUGAUCAUUGGGACCCCGGUUUGGUUAAUGACCGAGCAGAGGCGUAAGAACCAGUCUCCUCCUCAUCGUCUAUCAAUGGGUGCGACUCCCUGAUCUUGCUCUGCUGCCUUGUAGGUAGACUUUUUAGUCAAAGGCUCCAGGUGGGGUCUCCUAAGCUAACCCCCUACUCCGGCCUAGGCAACCGGGUAGUAUACACCUACUGAAAACCAUGGAUCCUUUUCUCUCUUUCACCAUGGUUUGGAUGGCACAGGCAGGAGGGGUUCGUCAGCCAUGGUUGGCAACCCUCCUAGGAGAGAAUAACUCCGACUUCAAACCUAGGGCCCGAGGUUUGUCACCAUCCCAGCUUGCUAGGCCAUGGCAGAUGAACCUCAUGCUUAAAGGGUGGGGCCAGUUUGCGCACACUGCACUUCACCUUAAAAAACUCCCUAGCGCAGGCCAAAGGACAUGUCCACGUUCUGUGACCAGCCAUCCUAAAAGCCCUGCAGCGAUGGGAAAGGGGCGAAAGUGGAAGAUGUCACUGAAAGCCGUAGUCUCAACCCUACAUAUAGGCGGCUCAGAACGUUGGUCGCCUGGUUGUCGAUCUGGAGGUGACGACACCACUUGGCAGCAUCCUGAGCGACCAAGCAGCCCUAUUUAGGGAGAGCACUGCCUGCUCCACAUGGAGAGGGGCAGUAGAAAAGGUUCGCCUAAACAAAGCUCGUCUCCUCUAUACCCAGUUGGCUAACCGCAGUCAACGGGCAUCUUCAGAGCGGUCGAACAAACAUGGAAACAAAACCGAAGAAAAGUAAAAAGGAGUUGAAAGUUGCCUGCUGGAAUGUCAGGACCACGCUUGACAAGGCUGACAGCAGCCGCCCGGAACGUCAUUCGGCUCUCAUAGCCCAUGAACUCUCCCGUCUCAACAUUGACAUAGCAGCUCUCAGCAAGGUCCACUUCGCUGACGAGGGCAGCCUCAAAGAACGCGGUGCUGGCUACACGCUCUUCUGAUCCAGAAAACCAUCAUCUGAAAAACGUGUGUCGGGUGUAGGACUCGUGGUGAGGAAUUCCAUCACCUCCAAACUGAAAACGUUACCCACAGGCCACUCAGACCGCAUCAUAUCCAUGCGCCUACCACUGGAGAGCAAACAACAUCUCACUCUCUUCAGUGUUUAUGCUCCAACUCCACUGGCAGAUCCCGUGGACAAAGACAGCUUCUAUUCUGAUCUGCUCAGACUCUUGAACAACACCCCUGCAAACGACAAGGUCCUGAUCUUUGGCGAUUUCAACGCAAGAGUUGGGAAGGACUCUGAGGUUUGGAAAGGAGUCCUUGGAAGACACGGCAUUGGUGGCUUUAAUGACAACGGGCACCUCCUGCUUGAGUUCUGCACAGAGCACCAACUUGCUAUUACCAACACAAUCUUCCAACAGAAAGACCGUCUGAAAACAACUUGGAUGCAUCCCCGGUCCAAGCAUUGGCAUCUACUUGACUAUGUGCUUGUGCGACAGCGGGACCUGAAAGACGUUCUACACACAAGAGUGAUGCCCAGUGCAGAGUGCCACACUGACCAUCACCUUGUCCAAACCCAAGAAGAAAGGUAAUCCCAUAAGGAAACUCAAUGUCGACAGCUUGUGCCGGGAGGAAGUGAAAAUCAAGUUCCAAACAAACCUGCAGCAAAGACUAGACAAAUCCCCCUGCACUGAUGGACACCACCCCAGACACCUUGUGGGAGAACCUGAAAUCAGCCAUCCUUAAGACAUCUAUGGAAGUUCUCGGGCACACAAAGAAGAAAAACAAGGACUGGUUUGAUGAAAAUGACAAGGAGAUCCAGGAAUUACUAGCAAGGAAGAGGGCAGCUCAUCAGGCCCACCUCGCACAACCAGCCUGUCUUGUGAAGAAAACUACCUUUCGACGUGCAUGCAACACCCUGCAGCAAAAACUCAAACAAAUGCAGAACGAGUGGUGGGACCACCUGGCAUGGAGAACCCAGCUAUGUGCUGACUUCAGAGACUAUAGAGGCUUCUAUGAGGCUCUGAAAGCAGUGUAUGGCCCCACCCACCUGGUCCAGAGUCCCCUACACGGUACAGAUAGACAGGACCUCCUCGCUCGCUGGUCCGAGCACUUCCAACCAUCGCUGAAGAAAACCUCCCCAAGAGCCAUUGUGGCUUCAGAGCCAACAGAGGCACAACAGAUAUGGUGUUCGUCCUCCGCCAACUCCAGGAGAAGUGCCGAGAACAAAACAGGGAACUCUAUGCUACUUUUGUCAACCUUACAAAAGCAUUUGACACAGUGAAUAGGACAGGACUAUGGCUCAUCCUGGAACGACUUGGCUGUCCCACCAAGUUUCUACAGAUGGUGAUCCAGCUGCACGAGAAUCAGUGUGGUCAGAUCAGACUCAAUGCUGACCUGUCGGAGCCCUUCCCCAUUUCCAACGACGUGAAGCAGGGUUGCGUUCUGGCACCGACUCUCUUCAGCAUCUUCUUCAGCAUGAUGAUCAAGCAUGCAACUGAAGAUAUGGAGGAUGAGGAUGGGGUGUAUGUUAGGUAUCAUCUGGAUGGCAGUCUCUUCAAUCUACGGUGCCUCCAAGUCCACACCAAGACUCAGGAGAGGUUGAUCCGAGACCUUCUCUUCACAGACGACACUGCCCUUGUCGCUCACACAGAGCGAGCUCUGCAGCGCAUCAUGUCCUGCUUUGCAGACGCCUCGCAGCUCUUUGGCCUGGAGGUCAGCCUCAAGAAGACGGAGGUACAUCACCAACCUACACCCCAAGAGGAAUACUGCCCACCCCCACACCACUAUCUGCGGUACUGAACUGAAAUCAAUACAGCAGUUUACAUACCUGGGCUGCAUCAUCUCAUCCGAUGCAAGGAUCAACAAGGAAAUUGACAAUAGAUUUUCUAAGGCUCCUUUGGCAGAUUGUACAAACGUGUUUGGCACAAUGGUGGCCUGAAGAACAAAACAGAUCAGUGUCUACAGGGCUGUGGUUCUCACCACUCUUCUCUACGGCUCAGAGACCUGGAUCACUUACUGCAAUCACAUCCGUCUCCUCGAGCGCUUCCACCAUCGAUGUCUCCGCACCAUCCUCAACAUUCACUGGAGUGACUUUGUCACAAACAUUGAAGUCUUGGAGCAGGCCAAGAUCCCCAGUAUUAAAGCCACGCUACUGAAGUACCAUCUCCGAUGGGCAGGGCAUGUCUCCAGAAUGGAGAACCAUCGCCUUCCAAAGAUUGCUCUGUUUGGCGAACUCGCCACCGAGUGAGAGGAGCUCCAAGUAAGUGCUACAAAGACUGCCUCAAGAAGACUCUAACAGCAUGUCAAAUUAAUCAUCAAUGCUGGUCAGACCUGGCUGCGGACCAUGAUGUCUAGCGCCACACGAUCUUCAACGCAGUCAGCAAGAUUGAAGAACAUAGAAGAGACGCAGGAGGAAGGCGCAAGCCGCCUCUGACACCACACCGGAUGUUACCUUCGUCUGUGGACACUGCUCACGGACCUGUCUUUCCCAUAUUGGACUUGUCAGUCAUAUGCAUGCACAAGACGUGGACAGCCUUCUUGAUCUUCGUUUGCGAAGCCGAGCCAUGAUGAUGACUCGACUGGCGCUUCUCAAGUCUUAGACGUAUAUUGAGUUCUAACACCCAACUUAUUACUAUCGCAUUACUUGAGCAAAAUAAUUAUUUGUUUCAGUCAUUUGACUGGCCAUGCUGGAGCACCGUCUUUAGUUGAACUAGGUGACCCUUGGACUUAUUCUUUGUAAGCCUAGUACAUAGGAAAGACUUCUGCCCCCAUUUUCUCACAAAUUUGUUUAUUUUUGUAAUUUUUAUUUUUUUGCCAAAAAUCCCUGUUUUCGGAUACGGAGGUUCCGGAAAAUUGCAAAAAAUCGGCAUUGUGAAAAUCUCCCCUAACUUCUUCAAUUUUGACUUUUUUCCCCAACACUAACCCUAAAACCAUAACCCUAACCCUAAAACAGUAACUGUAAGUACAGAAAUGUUUUGAAAUUUUUUCCGAAUCAUGAUGUCCAUAUUUUUCCGCAUAUUUAGAAAAAAAAUUCUUAAAAACAAAAUUUACAAAGAUUUUUGGAAAUUUUUUUCAGAAUCAUAAUCUUCAUAUUUUUCCACAUAUUUUGAAAAAAAAAUUGUACAAAAAGUUAAAACUAAAAGAAAUAGGGGUGGGGUUGAGGGUAAUUUAGAAAUGUCGAGUUUUGCCAAUUUUUUUGCUGAUUCAUAUUCCCCGUAGCCAAAAGGUGGGGGUGGGGUUGAAAAAAACAAUUUUUUUUAAGGGUGGAAGGGUGGAAGUCUUGCCCUUAUUGUAUCAGUCUCUUUUGCCGAACCACUAAGUUACAGGGACCUAAACACACCAACAUCAGUUGUCAAGCAAUGCUGGGGGAGACAAACACACACACACACAUAUAUAUGUGUGUAUAUAUGACAGGCUUCUUUCAGUUUCCGUCUUCCAAAUCCACUCACAAGGCUUUGGUCAGCCCAAGGCUAUACUAGAAGACACUUGCCCAAGGGGCCACUCAGUGGGACUCAACCCGGAACCUUGUGGUUGGGAAGCAAGCUUCUUACUACACAACCACACCUUAUGUAAUUAAAUUAAUUAAAUAUAUACAUUUAAUUCUGAUGAAAAGUAUUUAUAGAAAAUGUCGUUAAAGGAUAUUGAUUUUUCUGAAAGUUAUGAGGAAAUAAAUUUAGAGGGGUCACUUGUGUAGGUGUGUUAAAACAUAUAUAAGACGUUUAACAAGAAAUCUGUUCUCAACUAAGGUUCAUAUGACUCUUGGGGGCCCACAUAACAAUUUAUGGGGUCCACAAUAGUAUUUCUGGAGUUAAUGAAAAAAUUUUGCCUUAAAUGUAUUUAUUGCUAAAGACAGCUUAGAUCUCUGUAAAGCUUUACACAUAUCAAGGACAACAUUGUCUCAUGCAUCCUUUAUUCAAAAAGUAAGCUGAGAUGUGUGUGAGAUUUAGCUGCUGUUUCUAGAAGAUCAACAAAUCAUAUAGAGGCUUCCCUCAUUAACAUAAAGAUUAAAAGUGAAGGACCACUGGUAUGUGAAGAAGUACCUUGUAAUCCUGGAGUCCUUUGAAAUUUGAAUUUUCCAUUAUUUGCAUCUAACAAAUCUUCUUCAUCCAGAUCUGAUUCCACUGCUGGGCAUUCAAGAACCAAAUGAAGGGCAGAUUUUCAGUCCCAGGAUCCUCCUGAUUCCAAAUCUGGAUCAGUUUAUGUGGAGCAAAUGUAGACUGAGACGCAGGGAUCCUGAACAGACAGACAGACAGAAUUUCGCAUUUAUUGUGUUUGACAGACCUGUACUGACGACCUAGGGCUAAACACCAACAACAACAGUGGAGGUGCAAUGGCCCAGUGGUUAGGGCAGCAGAAUUGCAGUCGUAAGAACACUGUUUCAAUUCCCAGACUGGGCAUUGUGAGUGUUUAUUAAGCAAAAACACCUAAGCCACGAGGCUCCGGCGGGGGGAGGGUGGUCAACCCCACUGUACUCUUUCAAUACCACAAGGCUCCGGCGGGGGGAGGGUGGUCAACCCCACUGUACUCUUUCACCACCACUUUCUCUCACUCUUUCUUCCUACUUCUACCACAAAGCAGAGGAACCAUGGUGUAACCCACUAUGGUGUGGUAAGCUUUCAGACCCUAGUCUAGAUUGCGAAUCCUCUAUACCCCAGGAUGGUUCCACCCGUUAAAAGCCACCAUUUACGGAAUGAGGAUAACAACGUAGCUUUCACACCCUAACCACUGUGGUAGGUGGAUCUUGAAGUUGCCACACACAUUCUUAGUAGCUUAGAGUAGGCUCGAAUUAGAGAUUAUUCUUUGUGGCUAAUGGCGUGAGUCCUGAUUGGAAGAAGGAGAACAACAACAACAUUGAAAUAGGUAUCAAUGUCAUACAGUGCUAUAUUUAAGGAGAUGAGGUUUUAUUUACAUUAUUUGCAUUUGAUGGCUAUUUGUCCUCAUCUUGUUUGUUGUUAGCAGAAUGUUUCAGCUGAUAUACCCUCCAGCCUUCAUCAGGUGUCUUGGGGAAAUUUCGAACCUGGGUUCUCAUUCCUAACGUAUUUUUCGAUGUUAUUAUUAUUAUUAUUAUUGGCACAUGAAAAAGCAUUCGAGCGAGGUUGUUGCCAGUGCCGCUGGACUGGCUCCUGUGCAGGUAGCACCUAAAAAACACCAUUUGAGCAUGGCCAUUGCCAGUACUGCCUGAAUGGCUCUCGUGCCGGUGGCACAUAAAAGUACCCACUACACUCUCGGGGUGGUUGGUGUUAGGAAGGGCAUCCAGCUGUAGAAACUCUGCCAGAUCAAGAUUGGAGCCUGGUGUAGCCAUCUGGUUCGCCAGUCCUCAGUCAAAUUGUCCGACCCAUGCUAGCAUGGAAAGCGGACAUUAAACGAUGAUUGUUGUUGUUGUUGUUGCUGCUGUUGUUGUUGUUGUUGUUAUUGUUCAGGUCACUGCUUAGAAUCAAACUUGGAAUCUUGGGGUUCGUAGCCUGCGCUCUUAACCACAUCUCUGAGAGAUGUAGAAAGAGAUGAUCAACUUUGAAGAAUGAGGAAGAUGAAUUGAACCAGACUAACUGGAAAGUCUGAAAUGAUGGGUGGAGACGUGGGAUUCUGUCUGAGCCUACAUCAACUUUCAGGAUGAUACUGGAAUACAGAGUGCAAACUAAACAGACACAGAGAAUAAGUUUUACACAAUGACUUAAGAAAAGGGUAAAGAUAGCACCUCAAGUCAUACUGACUCAUAAGGGCCAGUUUCCUGGUUUCCAUUGUGUAUGUAUCACAUUCCCCAGCAGUCCGUCUCAGGAUGACUCAUUUUAGCCAGCUGAGUGGAGUUGAGCAACGUGAAAUGAAGUGUUUUGUUCAAGAGCACAAUACGUUCACCAGUCCAGGAAUUGAAACCACAACCUUAUGACUGAGAGUCCAACUCUCAAACCACUUAACCACAUGCCUCCCACAUUUAAUGACUUGAUGUAAGCAAUACAAAAAUGAAUGUAAAAAAAAACAUAUCAGAUAUACAUUAUGGAGAAUGAAUAGUUAAAUAAUGGUUUCAAAUAUUUGCCACACGGAGGGGAUAAAGUCAAUUAGAUCAACCCCAGUGCAUAACUGGUACUUAUUCAAUCAAUCCCAAAAGGAUGAAAGACAAAGUCGACUUUGGCAGAAUUUGAACCCAGAACAUAGCAACAAACGAAACACCACUAAGCAUUUCGCCCGGCGUGCUAACGACCCUGCCAGUUCACUGCCUUUGAAUAGUUAAAUAAUAAAUUAUGCAUGAGUUUUGGUAAUCAAUGUUAGGAACCUAAAAUGUCUUAUCAUGAAUCCUGGACAUAGCUGAAAUGAAUCUCUCUUGCUAAGUGUGCCAGCAAUGCAACCAUGAAACCACAGAAUUACAGCCAAAUUUCACCCACUCAGGCCAACAGGGUCCACUCCAAGCCUACAUCAUACAUUUUCCCAACCCAACUCAACCAAUCCAUUGAAAAGUCCUUUCUUUAAAGGCAGUAACAGUCCCCAUGGCAACAGCAAACACAGCAUGGUUCUACAUCAGUCAUUUGUAGACUAAUCAGCAUUUAACACCAGUUUAUGUAACCAAACUACUUCUUUAGUCACUCAAGGUAGUAGGAGUAGUAGUAGUAGUGUCUACAUGGACGACAGACCAGUUAUGAAGUUUUAAUAACUAAAGUGAUGGACAGUCUUUCACAAACAACCCAGAUCAGAUGUUGUACCAGCUUGUAGGACAGCAACUGACCUCAACAACUGUGUGGUGAUAGAAUUACAAUAAUCCAGUGUUUCAUCAAUUAUGUGUGUGUGUGUAUGGAUAGAUAGAUAGACAGAUAGAUAGAUAGAUAGAUAGAUAGAUAGACAGAUAGAUAGAUAGAUAGAUAGACAGAUAGAUAGAUAGAUAGAAAGAUAAAUAGAUAGAUAGCUUCAUAGAUUGAUUGAUAGAUAUACCCAUACAUAUGAAUAAAAAGAGAAGAAAGAAUGGGAAAGAGAGUUGUAUAUCUGCUUCUCCAUUGUUGUAAUUUCAGUUUGCAGUAUGUUUAUGACAUCCCAUUCAACUAAGUCUAUUCUGGCUACUGAUUUUACACAAUGUCAAAUAAAUUAAUAAGGCUACAAAUGGCUAUAAUAUUAAUUAGCUUUCAAAUAGUGAAUCCUGGCUCUCUGUCUGUCUAUCUGCAUGUAUCUACAGUGCCUAAUGGUUCCUUGUUUUUCAUUUCAUCUCCUUAGGGAAAACUAGACAUAUGUAAACUAUCUCACUGUUUCUUUUUAAUGUGCACACAUGUGUCCACACACAUGCACACACACACACACACACAUACAUACGCACACACAUGCACAUAUAUAAAUCAAAGUAUGCAAUAUUAGAUCCAUUUCAGCCAAUCUUACCAAUCAGUUUCACACUGGGUAUUAGGUACUGGAUAUUAGAUAACAGUGCUGUUAAGUAAAACCACACGCUCUUCAGAGAUGAUAUAGAAAAGACACACACACACACACACAUAUGUAGGUAUGUGUGUGUAUAUAUGUAUGUAUGUAUGUGUGUGUGUAUGUAUGCAUGUAUCUAUCAAUCUAUCUAUCUGUGUGUAUAUAUAUAUAUAUAUAUAGAGAGAGAGAGAGAGGGAGAGUUUACGAAAAAAAAAGCAAAAGACGAAGACAGGUGGUGUAGAAAACAAACAGAUGUAUUAGUAUAACGCUCAGGAAUUGAAAAAGUCUUUUACAUUUCGAGCCUAUGCUCUUCCACAGAAAGGGACACAGAAAAACAAGGAGAGAAAAAAAUGUGUGUAGUGGCUAACAAUCUAUCAUAGCGGCUGUGUAUAUAUAUAUAUAUAUAUAUAUAUAUAUAUAUAUAUAUAUAUAUACACACAUGCACUGGUUUUAUAUUGCAUAUAGCUGCCUUCAUUUCUCAUUAGCAUACCAUUUUGCUAAAUCAGCUAUAAAUACAAAUGGUAAAUAUAUUUGUACAUGUGUGUGUGUGUUUCUAUGUGUAUAUGUAUGUAUUUAUAUAUGUGUGUGUGUAUAUCCUUUUAUGCUUUCACUUAUUUCAGUCAUUUGACUGUGGCCAUGCAGGAGCACUGCCUUUAGUCAAACAAAUCAACUCCAGGACUUAUUCUUUGUAAGUCUAGUACUUAUUCUAUUGGUCUCUUUUGUCAAACUGCUGAGUUAUGGGGAUGUAAGCACACCAACAUCGGUUAUCAAGCGAUGCUGGGGGGACAAACACAGACACACAAACUUAUACACACACAUAUAUGUAUGUAUGUGUAUAUGUAUAUAUAUAUAUAUAUACUAGCAGUAUCGCCCGGCAUUGCUCGGGUUUGUAAGGGAAAUAAUUAUAUAAGCAUUUUUAGAGAUGUAAAGUAUAAUAGCCAUCUCAAUAUGGCUAACCACAAAGGGGGAGGGGUGUUACUGUAGCUUUUUACGUUCUGAGAUUUAAUAAUAAAUUUUAGAGAGUUACUUCCCUUAUAUAUGUCAAAAAUGGAUUAAAAAUGGGAAAAAUUGAUGGUAAAUUUUUUUUUAAAUCGUAGACUCAUCGUAGACGCGCGCUAAUACCCAGACGGUCUCGAUAUGAAUCACGACUAUAAGAUACCCGGUUUUGGUUAAACUGCACCGCAAAAUGUGGGAGUAGUUAGGAAUCUAAAUCGUAGGAGACAGACACACAACCUCACUUUUAUAUAUAAAGAUUUCCUCUAUUUACAUAAUAUUGAGGUCUCUUUCUUUCUUUUGUUAUCUUACUGUUUUUAACAAUAUACAUAUAUAUAUAUAUAAAUAUAUAUAUAGUUACAGAGAUGUACUUGCAUAGCAAGUGACUUGAUCUGAGAUUGUGUGCUGGAACGAAAACAGUUGCAGCGUUGAAGGUGUUUAUAAGCCAUUUAAGAAACACACAAAAACCGUUAGAUUCACUUCAACAUUUAAAUUUAAUUUGUGAAAAUAUUUUCGUCGCUUUGAGACCGCGACCUGUUAGCACGAUAUUUUUGUCAGUGAACAGGUCGCGGUCUGAAAGCGACGAAAAUAUUUUGGCAAAUUAAAUUUAAAUGUUGAAGUGAAUGUAACGGUUUUUGUGUGUUUCUUAAAUGGCUUACAAACACCUUCCACGCUGCAAUAUAUAUAUACACACAUAUAUAUAUAUGUAUGUAUGUAUGUGUGUAUAUGUGUAUGCAUGUAUGUGUGUGUGUGUGCGUGUCUGUGCUUGUGAUUGUCCUGCACCACUGCUUGACAGCGAAUGUUGGUUUGUUUACAUCCCUGUCACCUAGUGGUUUGACAAAGGAAACAGAUAGAAUAAGUACAAUGCUUACAAAAAUAAAACUGGAGUUGAUUCAUUAAACUACAAUUCUUCAAGGCAUUGCCCCAGCAUGGCCACAGACCAAUGGCUGGAAAAAGCUGAAGAAUAAAAGAAUACAUUCUCUGCUUUGGUCUUAUGUUCAAGGCAUGAGAAAGCUUGAGUUUACAUGAGAAGGCCUAACAGACCUGGUAGAAACAGCAGCCAAAUCUCCCUCAAAUCACACCUUACUGUCUUAUGUAUGUAUAUAUAUAUGAGCCAAUGAGGGGGACCUCUACAUGGUAGCUAGACCUGGUAGAAAUAGCAGCCAAAUUUCCCCCAAAUCACACCUUACUGUCUUAUCUAUGUAUAUAUGUAUGAGCCUAUGAGGGAGACCCCUACAUGGCAGCUAGACAUGGUAGAAAUAGCAGCCAAAUCUCCCUCAAAUCACACCUUACUGUCUUAUCUUUCUGCUACUUGGAUAUAGGUGUUAUAUUCGUCGUAAAAAACUUUCCUGUCACACACUCACGCACACACACACACACACGCACCCUCACACAUACACACACGCGCACACCCACACACACCCACUCACACACACGCACGUUAGCUUACAAUUUUAUUUAUAUAUUUGCGUGUCUAUGUGUGGAAAGAGGAAGUGGGAGGCAGAGUGAAAGAAUCACUCACUACAGUAAGUCAAUUACUUUCAUUUUAUUCGUUGCCCACUGUGUGUGUGCGUUUGCGUGUGGUGUAAACCAGACUAAGAAAAGCAUUUGACACACACACCAGAAUGUGAGUUUUCUGUAAAUUUUGCUUAAUUGGAGUUUAAAUUUUAAAAACUGGACCUGGCAUGACGCGAUGCAUUGUACUCUUAAAAAUGGUAGGUAAAUUGUAAUUGAAGAAAUCCUAUAUUGUAGAUUUGUAUAACUCCCAAAGGGAGGCAGAUAAAAUCUGCCUUUUAUAAUAAGACUAGCAGUAUCGCCCGGCGUUGCUCGGGUUUGUAAGGGAAAUAAUUAUAUAAGCAUUUUUAGAGAUGUAAAGUAUAAUAGCCAUCUCAAUAUGGCUAACCACAAAGGGGGAGGGGUGUUACUGUAGCUUUUUACGUUCUGAGAUUUAAUAAUAAAUUUUAGAGAGUUACUUCCCUUAUAUAUGUCAAAAAUGGAUUAAAAAUGGGAAAAAUUGAUGGUAAUUUUUUUUUAAAUCGUAGACUCAUCGUAGACGCGCGCUAAUACCCAGACGGUCUCGAUAUGAAUCACGACUAUAAGAUACCCGCUUUUGGUUAAACUGCACCGCAAAAUGUGGGAGUAGUUAGGAAUCUAAAUCGUAGGAGACAGACACACAACCUCACUUUUAUAUAUAAAGAUUUCCUCUAUUUACAUAAUAUUGAGGUCUCUUUCUUUCUUUUGUUAUCUUACUGUUUUUAACAAUAUACAUAUAUAUAUAUAUAUAUAUAUAUAAAUGUAUAAAUAGUUACAGAGAUGUACUUGCAUAGCAAGUGACUUGAUCUGAGAUCGUGUGCUGGAACGAAAACAGUUGCAGCGUUGAAGGUGUUUAUAAGCCAUUUAAGAAACACACAAAAACCGUUAGAUUCACUUCAACAUUUAAAUUUAAUUUGUCAAAAUAUUUUCGUCGCUUUGAGACCGCGACCUGUUAGCACGAUAUUUUUGUCAGUGAACAGGUCGCGGUCUGAAAGCGACGAAAAUAUUUUGGCAAAUGAAAUUUAAAUGUUGAAGUGAAUGUAACGGUUUUUGUGUGUUUCUUAAAUGGCUUACAAACACCUUCCACGCUGCAAUAUAUAUAUACACACAUAUAUAUAUAUGUAUGUAUGCAUGUAUGUGUGUGUGUGUGCGUGUCUGUGCUUGUGAUUGUCCUCCACCACUGCUUGACAACGAAUGUUGGUUUGUUUACAUCCCUGUCACCUAGUGGAAACAGAUAGAAUAAGUACAAUGCUUACAAAAAUAAAACUGGAGUUGAUUCAUUAAACUACAAUUCUUCAAGGCAUUGCCCCAGCAUGGCCACAGACCAAUGGCUGGAAAAAGCAGAAGAAUAAAAGAAUACAUUCUCUGCUUUGGUCUUAUGUUCAAGGCAUAAGAAAGCUGGAGUUUACAUGAGAAGGCCUAACAGACCUGGUAGAAACAGCAGCCAAAUCUCCCUCAAAUCACACCUUACUGUCUUAUGUAUGUAUAUAUAUAUGAGCCAAUGAGGGGGACCUCUACAUGGUAGCUAGACCUGGUAGAAAUAGCAGCCAAAUUUCCCCCAAAUCACACCUUACUGUCUUAUCUAUGUAUAUAUGUAUGUAUGAGCCUAUGAGGGAGACCCCUACAUGGCAGCUAGACCUGGUAGAAAUAGCAGCCAAAUUUCCCCAAAUCACACCUUACUGUCUUAUCUAUGUAUAUAUGUAUGUAUGAGCCUAUGAGGGAGACCCCUACAUGGCAGCUAGACCUGGUAGAAAUAGCAGCCAAAUUUCCCCCAAAUCACACCUUACUGUCUUAUCUAUGUAUAUAUGUAUGUAUGAGCCUAUGAGGGAGACCCCUACAUGGCAGCUAGACCUGUAGAAAUAGCAGCCAAAUUUCCCCCAAAUCACACCUUACUGUCUUAUCUAUGUAUAUAUGUAUGUAUGAGCCUAUGAGGAGACCCCUACAUGGCAGCUAGACCUGGUAGAAAUAGCAGCCAAAUUUCCCCCAAAUCACACCUUACUGUCUUAUCUAUGUAUAUAUGUAUGUAUGAGCCUAUGAGGGAGACCCCUACAUGGCAGCUAGACAUGGUAGAAAUAGCAGCCAAAUCUCCCUCAAAUCACACCUUACUGUCUUAUCUUUCUGCUACUUAUAUUCGUCGUAAAAACUUUCCUGUCACACACUCACGCACACGCACACACACACACACACACACGCGCGCGCACCCUCACACACACACACGCGCGCACACACACACACACACUCACACACACGCACGUUAGCUUACAAUUUUAUUUAUAUAUUUGCGUGUCUGUGUUGAAAGAGGAAGUGGGAGGCAGAGUGAAAGAAUCACUCACUACAGUAAGUAAAUUACUUUCAUUUUAUUCGCUGCCCACUGUGUGUGUGCGUUUGCGUGUGCUGUAAACCAGACUAAGAAAAGCAUUUGACACACACACCAGAAUGUGAGUUUUCUGUAAAUUUUGCUUAAUUGGAGUUUAAAUUUUAAAAACUGGACCUGGCAUGACGCGAUGCAUUGUACUCUUAAAAUUGCUAGGUAAAUUGUAAUUGAAGAAAUCCUAUAUUGUAGAUUUGUAUAACUCCCAAAGGGAGGCAGAUAAAAUCUGCCUUUUAUAAUAAGAGAUAUAUAUAUAUAUAUAUAUAUAUAUAUAUAUAUAUAUAUAUAUAUACGAUGGGCUUCUUUCAGCUUCCUUCUACCACACUCACAAGGCCUUGGUUGACCUGAGGCUAUAGAAGAAGACACUUGCCAAAGGUGCCAUGCAGUGGAACUGAACCCGAAACCAUGUGGUUGGGAAGCGAACUUCUAACCACACAGCCACACCUAUACACACACACACACACACACACACACACACACACACACACACAGACAGACAGACAGACAGACAGAUAGAUAGAUAGAUAGAUAGAUAGAUAGAUAGAUAGAUAGAUAAGAUAGAGGUAAAUAUA